rnacentral:rRNA from 1 species
CAAGCGACUGUUUACCAAAAACAUAGGUUUCUGCUAAGUCGCCAGACGAUGUAUAGGAGCUGGCGCCUGCCCGGUGCUGGAAGGUUAAGGGGAUCUGUUAGAGCAAUCGAAGCAGUGAACUUAAGCCACAGUAAACGGCGGCCGUAACUAUAACGGUCCUAAGGUAGCGAAAUUCCUUGUCGGGUAAGUUCCGACCCGCACGAAAGGCGUAACGAUUUGGGCACUGUCUCA